rfam:Bacillus cereus ATCC 14579, complete genome.
CAAAAAGCAAAGAAAAGGACACGAGUUAUUUUACCCGGUUAUACAGAGAAGGAAGGAAAGCUGAGAACUUCCUAACGCAGAAAAAUAACUUACCACCUUAGAGCUGCACUAGGGAAAUUAAGUAUCUAGUGCCGUGUAUGCGACGUUAUCGCAAAAGAAGCCAUUAUGUUUUUUGUGAUGGGAAUCUGGGUGGAACCACGGAUAUAAGCAUAUUCGUCCCUAUA